UUUUGACCCUCCACCAUGUGUGCUUUGAUAUGUUUGUUGAAGUAGUCCUGGAAACAAAACCAAACAUACAGACAAAAAAAAAAACACAAAAACAUACAUGAAACAAACAUACACAAAAAACCCCAAAAGCAAAAAACUAGAAAUACCAGCUACAAGUAAACAAUAGGGUGGAGGCGGUGCUGAUAGAAGAGGCUUUAUCCCACACAAAGAGAGAAAUGACAGGACAGGGGAAAAAGAAAAAGAAAAAUUGACCAGGUGGAGAAACUAUAAGCUUAAUCCAGAGAGAGAGAAAGGAAAAUAAAGAAGGAAAAGGAGGUGUAGAAAAUGUAUCAAGAGAAUGUAUUAAGUAUGUCUGCUUAAACAGACCAACAACCAGAGUAACCAGACUAGAGGAGGAAAGAGAUAAGAGAAAGAAAAAGAAG